AUGGACGCCACCGUGGUCGCCGUCGCCAGCGACGGAGAUGACGGCGACCGCCGCCGCCCCCUCCUUGAGACCGGAAACGAGAUCCUCCCAUACCCCGAAUCCCUUUCGCGGCCGCAGCCGCCGGGGGCGGAUGCGAAGCCCGAGCAGCAGAAGCCGCAGCGGGUGGCCUCGCUCGAUGUGUUCCGCGGUCUCACCGUCGCCAUGAUGAUACUCGUGGACGACGCCGGCGGGGCGUGGCCGGGGAUAAACCACGCGCCGUGGUUCGGGGUGACUGUGGCGGACUUCGUCAUGCCGGCCUUCCUCUUCAUCAUCGGCGUCUCCGCCGCCCUCGUCUUCAAGAAAACACCAAACAAGAUAGCAACAUCCAAGAAGGCUGCAUGUAGGGCUAUCAAGCUUUUCAUCUUGGGCGUAAUUUUGCAAGGAGGAUACAUUCAUGGACGGCACAAAUUAACUUAUGGCGUUGAUUUGGAUCAUAUUCGAUGGCUAGGUGUGUUACAGAGAAUAGCUAUUGGAUACUUUCUAGCAGCAAUUUCUGAGAUUUGGCUUGUGAACAAUACUUCGGUGGAUUCGACAGUAUCAUUUGUGAAGAAGUACUUCGUGGAGUGGAUCAUGGCCAUAAUGAUUUCAGCUCUGUACAUUGGCUUGGUAUUUGGUCUAUAUGUUCCAAACUGGGAAUUUAAAGUUCAGACUAGCAGUUCGGCCUUUUCAAAUCCAACCAAUGAUGUUGGGUUCAAAACGGUCCAGUGUGGACUUAGAGGUAGUCUUGGACCACCUUGCAAUGCAGUUGGCUUUGUAGAUCGGGUUUUGCUUGGGGAAAGUCACCUGUACAAGAACCCAGUGUACAAAAGAACUAAGGAAUGCAGUAUUAAUUCCCCUGAUUAUGGACCGCUUCCUCCGAAUGCGCCAGACUGGUGCCUGGCUCCCUUUGACCCGGAGGGUUUAUUAAGUACAUUGAUGGCUGCAGUGAGUUGCUUUGUUGGUUUGCAUUUUGGUCAUGUCUUGAUUCAUUGCAAGACUCAUUCACAGCGAAUGAUGUCAUGGCUGCUAGCUUCAACGGUGCUAACAGUCUCAGGAUUUUUAUUACAAUUAUUAGGUAUGCCUUUCAGCAAGCCUUUGUAUACUGUGAGCUACAUGCUGCUGGCUGGUGGAGUAUCCGGGUUCCUUCUGUUGCUGCUAUACGGCAUAGUCGAUGUUAUCCACAUCAAGAAGCCAUUAAUUCUGUUCCAGUGGAUGGGCAUGAAUGCGCUUAUAGUAUAUGUCCUGGCAGCUUGUGAGCUCUUCCCUACGCUUAUUCAAGGGUUCUACUGGCGGUCACCCGAGAACAACCUGGUGGAUGCCACGGAGUCUCUGCUCCAGGCCAUCUUCCAUUCGAAACGUUGGGGCACCUUGGCCUUCGUCCUCGUGGAGAUCAUCUUCUGGUGCUUGGCUGCCUGCUUCCUCCACAUGAAAGGCGUUUACCUGAAACUGUAG
rnacentral:rRNA from 1 species